AAUGAAUCAACUUUUAAGGUUUUGUGUGUGCAGAUCAGUCUUAAGAAGAAACCCAUUUGCAUCAAAACCCAUAUCUUCUUCAUUGAUCUCGAAUAAUCCGACUUCUUCAAACCUAAUACUACCACUCAUCUCAAAAUCCCACCACACUUUUGAUUAUCCUCCACAAAUCUUUUCAACCCAUGGAAACCAGUUCCGAAAAUUCAAUGGAGAUCUAGUCGGUGGAGACCCAGCAGCAGCAGCAGCAGCAGCAGCAGCAGAAGCAGAAUGCAACUCUGACGAUGAUGAUGAAAUUUCUGAAGAAGAUGAUCUGAAAUAUGAAAUUUAUGAACUUCACAUGGAUAUAGGCGGGGCUCGGGACAACAUUGAAUUAUGUAGCUUACCUCCUCUUGAGGCUGUCAAGAUUCCGGCGGACAACCUUAAGGCCUUACUGAAAAAAUUCGGUCUUGACAAUGUAAAAUAUCGUGAUUAUCCCCCUCACCUGCAGAGCUUCAGAAAAGAGAUAGCACUUGCCAAAGAAUGCGUUCAGGAAAUCGUGGAUUUUGGGAGGUAUGCUGCACUUGGCAAAUAUAGGGGUGGACGGCCUAAUUGGAAAUACUUCACAAAAUGGUAUUACGAUGCUGGUGGUAUGGAGGAGCUAGAGAGUUUUAUGAAUGUGACACUUUGCCAACUGCUCAGGACCAGAUUCCAAUGCCUGUGGAUGGUGCUUCUUCAGAGCGGUCGGUGGAGAUCCAGCAGCAGCAGAAUGUAGCGAUGAUGAUCUGGAAGAUGAAAUUUCUAACAAAGGUGAUUUGAAAGAUGAAAUUUCUAACAAAGAUGAUCUGAAAGAUGAAAUUUUUGAACUUCUCCUGGAAAUAGAAGAGGCUCUGGACAACAUUGAAUUACGUACCCUACCUCCUCUUGAUGUCAAGAUUCCGGCGGACCAACUGGAGGCCUUAUUGAAAAAAUGGGGUCUUGACAGUGUAAAAUGUGGGGAUUAUCCGCCUCACCUGCAGAGCUUUGGAAAAGAUAUAGAAUUUUUGAAAGUACGGGAUCGUGAAACCGCGGAUUUUGGGAAGUAUGCUGCAGCUGGCAAAUAUAGUGGACGACGGCCUUAUUGGGUUGACUUCAAAAAAUGGUAUGAUGCUGGUGGUAUGGUCGAGCUAGAGAGUUCUGAAUCAAAAAAUGAACGUGACGCUUUGCCAACUGCUCAGGACCAGAUUCCAAUGCCUGUGGAUGGUGCUUCUUCAGUUGCGGAUAGACAUUAACUAUCGGAUGGCCUGAAAAUCUUUGGGGAUACAGAUAAAGGGAAAACACCCCCAGGACAUGUUCGGUUGCUGCAGUUGCGUUUGUAACAUUGUAAGAAAUGUAAGGGAAUCCUCGGUGAGCUGGGUGCCUCGCUUCAGGAUGGAAAGCAAACUGAGGCAGUUGCGGCUUUGGAAGCUGUAAAAUUGGCCUGGCAAAAGCUGAUUCUCAACCAUCACUUAGAAGGGAACUAUCAUAAUGUUGGUGAAUGCAAUCAGCAGUAGCUUAGGGCUGUUGUAUAGACAACAAGCUGUGUCAUCUAAGACUGUCUAGAAUUGCUUAACAUUUUGAAUAAGUGGGUUUGUAGUUUGUACACAUGUACGUUGAGACUGUUGAGGUGGCUGAUAAUCUAGCAAAAGAUGCUAAAGAUGUUAGACUCGUCAUAUCUCAAUUUUCUGGGGUCGUGAUUUACCUCUUUGGUUAAGAACUCUCGUUAGAAAGAAACUGGGUGUGUGUUUAUCUGUGGCUUGGAAGGAUAAUCUAAACAAUAAAGCUGUGCCAAUUUCCAGACCUUACAAGAAUACAAGUUACCAGUUAUAAACCUCCAAAAGGCAUUCUGUUAGU